CUAGGCUUAGUUUGGGAAUUCCUUUAUUAUUUUGGCUUAUACAGUGAAAUGCCCCCAUAGAAUGGUGCUCUCUUCGGUGGCGGCGACGAUCAACGGUUCAAAGGGGAAGGGUUUCGUUCUUGUCUUCGCUUAGAUCUGGAAAAAAUCUCAGUUCGAUUCUUGAGGAUACGUGGGAAGAGUUAGAUCCGAAUGAGCUAUCAUAUGAGGUGUGUUAUCUACAGGUUGACUAUGAGGAUGGUGACACCUUGACUGUCAUUUCCUACAAACACUUGUACCAUUCUGAAUGCAUAAACAAUUGGUUAUGAAUAAAUAAGUUCAAGCUCUGGUUUUGGGGUUCCAACAUUGUAUCAUGACUCUAGGUACUUACGGUCUUGAUUCCAACUAUGUCAAUCAAAUGGGUGGUCGCAAUGUUGAGAAGGCUAAGGUGAUACAGACCUUACUCUUUGUUUCAAGGUUUAACACAUUGUUACAGUCCUUAUUUGGUAUCUGGCUUCCAUCAGUAAUUAGUGGUUCAUACUUCUUUAUUGUUAUAGUUUUAUCUGUUUCGUUUUUAUUCUUUCUGUGGGGGAGUAAUGCUUCUAUUCUUGACUAUGAACCUACAAAAAUAACAAUUUUGUAGAAAGAUGAAUAAUGAUUUUGAGUCAGAUGAAGAACAAUGCAUAUUAUGACUUCAUUUGUGUAUUGUGGUGCUGUUGGAUAUGUUAUAAGUGGUUGAAUUGUAAUGCUACCAUACACUGAUCAUUUUAUUAGUUUUAAAGGGAAAUAUAUUAGACAUAUUUCUACCUUCCUUUUUGCUUUGAACAUAGUGUUGGCAUUCUAUAUUUCAAGAAAAAGGGUACUAGUGAAUAAAUGAUAUAGAGUCAGAUAAUGUGCAUUAGAAGUAAUAGUUGUUUGUUAUUUGAGAACAUUUAUUUAUUUAUUUUUAUAUGGCUAUUUUCUAGUACUUUACAUUUUUACUCUUUUUAUUUUAUAUUUUGGGCAAUGCAAUCGAUGAGAUUAGUUUGGCAUUCCCUAAAUAUGUAGGGGUGCUGCUCUUCCCACUAAUACUCCAGGUAUCCCCUGCAUCUUUGAUCCUCAUGGAAGAGCUGGCAUAUGUAGUGAUUGACAUGUUGACAAGAUUUAUUCCCCAAAUUGAUAAGAUUUUCAAUCUUAUUUUUGUGUUGUGUUACAUGUACUCUUCUUUGAAUGAUGCCAUCUUAUCUCUUAAAUUUUUUGUCAUCUUCUCAGUCAUGAGGGCUCUCUAGAACAAUCGUAAAUUGUUUUUGGAGAUUUGUUGGAGUUGUCUUUUUAGCUGAUUAUGUGUUGUAAUCAUAUGAGAAUUGUUGUGUUCUAAAGCAUGUAGCUCAUCUGGAUUUGGACACAUCCACAUCUUUCUUUGGUGUUUAUGAUGGCCAUGGAGGUAACCAAUUUUUAUGACAUUCUUAUUGUAAGGUUUUCUAAACCUUAUGACUGUUCUAAACCUUCUGAGGUCAUUUUCUUCAAUUUUGUCGUUUGGAUGUAUAUUUCUAUGAAUAUUUGGAAGGAUAUCAAAUAUUAUGAUCAAGGUUUGAAUUUUGUCAUAAAAGUGCAUCAUUGUCAGGACCUGUAAGAUUGAGUUGCUCUUACAUGGAUAAUUAAUCAUUUUCCUUAUAAUUGAAGUGGGUGGGUUGCAAGCUAGUACUGGAAAGUCCGGAAAAGGGACUACAUUUUUUUUAAAAAAAUGUGCAUUAUUAAUUUAAUUUAAUGAUAAGAACGUGAUGUACUGAUCAUAUCUUCUUUUAAAUGAGCUAAAAUGAGAGCUUUGUAUUGGCCUCUGUAAAUUUGUCUAGCUGAUGUAGCUGGCACUCAGAAGGCAUGCACUUUGAUUCCUUUUCAGUUGCAAGUGUAGUCAGUGUAAUUUCUACUUUUUGUGGGAUCAAAAUUUUGUUUCUGAUUUUUUUUGUUCCUUGCAUAUAAUUUUGUUACAGUUUGCAUCGAGUCCUUCAUCUGUGCUGUUCUACUGUACUGGUUUUGCUCGUCCAUCUCGAGCAAUUACCUCAGCAACGUUUGGCUCUGAUUUAAAUAUUGAAACACUUGUUGCUGCUGCGGAGAGAAAGGAAACUCCUUUAGAGUUAUAGAAGAAGCUAUGUUUGGUCAAAGCCUAUUUUUGGUGAUUAUUCUUUCUCAUCCAGCCGCCAAAGCAUUUGACUUGUCCAACAAAGACAAGAGAAGCAUUGAAUAUCUGUAAAUCUGCAGUUACAACUUGCUCUUAGACGGGUUUGGAUGGCUUCUUCCAUACAUAGGGGUGUAUAACAAGGUUAGUUCCUGUUAGAUUCACUCUUCUACUGUUUUGCAAAUGCUUCCUCAGAAACAAAAAGGUUUAUUCUGUCUAUGAAAUCACAACUAAACUUGUUUAUAAAUUGAUUUUCUUGAAUAUACUAACAGCUUCACAGCAUGUAUGUCGAUUGGUUUGGAACCUUUGAAUCCUAACUCUGCUCAUUUUCUUAUAUUCUCUUUGAUUUCUAUGUUCUGUUCAUCCGGCGUCAACAGGUUGGUUUUCUCUUCCUCUCUUGUUCUCUUCUUAUCUUCUCUCCUUCUCAAAGGCAUGAUUUUUCUUCACUGUUUUAGAGAAGUUCUUAUAUGUCAUUAAAAAAUUUUUUUCGUACAAAAACUGAUUUGGAAUUUGUAAUGAAAAAACAUGUUGGCUAUUGUUUGUAAAAAAUCAUGUGCUCUUAGAUUGAAUACAAUGAAACCCCAAAAAAUAUGUUGGCUAUUGUUUGUAAAAAAAUAUGAAUUUUUGCUAAUUUUUCAUUAUGACAUUGCUUUUAUGGGGACAUUGAAUUAUCUUAUUAAUUUUGGAAAUAUUUUGUUGAUGUUUUAAAAUUUCUCGAUCAUUUCUUAAUACCUUAAGAAAUAUUUUUGUCAUUGAGUCGUUGGUUUUUGUACUUAUGUGAAGUUUCCUUUGUCAUGUAGACAAAAAAUGCAACAGGGUUAGUUGCUCCAGCUAUUGUCACGGGUUUAGGUGCCCUAACACAUACAUUGGGCACCCUCGUCCCUGUGAUAGGAGCAACUGGAUUUGCUACAGCUGCAACUGCUAUAGGAACUAUUGUCGGUAGUUUUAGAUAAUCUCUUAAUAGUUGUCGAUAUGUUUAGAAAGUUAGAUAUGCAUAGUUUUGGAUGGUUUAAACUUUUUGUACAGUUUAGAACUAAAGCAUAUAGUUUUCGAAUGUUUGGAAUGUAUAGACAAUUGUUAAAUGUUUAUAAUUUAUGGAUAUAGUUUCUUUUUGAUGUUUUAAACAAUAUUUUGGUGGUGGUUGAUUGAUGUUUUGUGAUACUUGUUUGUAAUAUUUGUUAGAUUGUACAAAAUUGGUCAAAUAGAACCUGCUCAAUUUAAAUAAAUAAUAAUAAAAAAAAAUUGCAUAUUAUACGGCAGGCAUAAGUCAUUGUAUUACAUAUUUUAUGGCACGCAAUCAGCGUCGUUAUUUGUCUCACCAAUUAAUGGCGUGCAAAAGUAGUCGUAGAAAAAGUAACAAUGACGCACAAAAUCUGCCGUCAAAUAUUUUUAACGGCGUACUAUAGUAUGUCGUAGAAAAAGUAACGACGACGUACAAAAUUUGUCGUUAAAUAGUUUUUAACAGCGUACGAAGCAUGCCGUUGAAAGUGAAUGACUUUCCGUGACUGGUCAUAAUAUGACGCGCGCUGCACGUUGUAGAAGGGUUUUUACGGCGUGCAUUGCGCGCCGUAAAACCCUUUUUGGUUGUAGUGAACAACUCGACUGUUUUACAUGCUUUAACUCCCUCAUUAUAUGUGAUUUGAAAUUCCAUGUUUAAAUGUGUGCAUUACAUGUUUAUAAACUUGUAUCUGUCGGUUAUGAGAAAAUCUGUUGAAAUUAGAACCUUUGGACUGGAAAUUGAAAGCUUUGCGCGGUAAGCCAAAAUUGACUUUAUAUCUGUGUUUAGCAUGAUUUUUGGAACUUAUGGGGAAAUUUUAGAAAAUUACAAUUCGUAAUGAAUUAAUUGAAUUUAAUUAGCUUAAGUUUUAGUUUUAGUUCAUGUGAGCUUUAUUAGCUAAAUCUAAUUGGUGAUUAGCUUAAAUUAUCUAUAUAUGUGUGUGAGUCUUAGCUUAGGGACUCAUAAAAUAUCUCUUGGGAAGGAGAGAGAGAGAGAGAGAGAGAGAGAGAGAGAGAGAGAGAGAGAGAGCUAGGAAUUUGAAGAAAUCAAGGGGAGAAUUCACAGAUUUGAGUGAAGGUAAGUUAAUAUAUCUUUGAUCCUUGUGGAUAACUCAUCAAUUUCAUAAAAUCAAGGAUUUAGUUAAAGAUUUAACAUUUAAAUGAACUAAGGUUUUGAGUUAUGGAUAAUAUGGGUUAAAUUUAAGAAUUGAACUUUAAAUCCUUUGAUUUUUCUUGAUUUGAGUUCCAUCUUGGGAAAGACUUAUGAAAUGAGUUCUAGGGUUUAUAGAUUAUGAUCUUGAUUGAACACAUCUCAUGAAAAUGAACAUGUUGUCUUUGGGUUGUGUGAUUAAAGAGUUAAUUCCUUUAUUUUUAGUUUGAUUUGCAUUGGAUUGUGAGAAAUUGUGAUUUAAUCUUGAGUCUUUGCAUGCUUUGAACUCAUGUAAGCAUAUAUGUAAUUAUAUACAACAUGUAUAACAUGAAAAGAUGAAGGAAAUUAAGGAAAUAUGGAAAUUAUGGUUCUAUAUGUCAAAUUAAAGUAAGUCAUGAUCUCUUUGAGCUUGAGUUUCAUGCUUAUUAUGUUUAUGUCAUGUUUUUGAAGUCAAAGUGCUUGAAUUGGGCCUUAGAAAUGCAUUUGGAAAGCUUGAAUUUGUUGGAUUUUCGGACUAUACAAACAGAGCCUAGAACCACACUUGCGGGGCUCACAGUUGCAUGUGCCGGAUGCAUAGCCACAUGUGCGAAAAACAGAGCAAGCAAGUCGAACAUUCUGAAAUAAAAGCACGUGCGGUGGGGGUCUUCUGCACUCUGGGAAAUUGGAAGGAAAAUUGAUGCAUUUUGUUUAUCUUUUUGACCCUUUAAAUUUGUUAAUGUGUAUUUAAGCCCUUCCGAAAUGCUUAAAGAUGAAUAUAAAUUGAACGAAACAGUAAAAUGAUUAAGAGAAGAAGCUAAGAAAAGAAUGAAUUACUUAUCAAGUUGUGUGUGUGUAAUGUGCAGGUCACUCGCCAGAAGGGACCGUUGCACGAUCGAAUCACUGUGUUCAACCUAAAGGUCAGCCCUAGGUCAGCUUUAGGAGUCUUUUUGGUGGACCUGCUAUGAUAAGCCU